AUCCCAUUGUGAGGACAUUUCCUUAACAGCUCCUUGAAUCUUUCUUAAGCAUCAAACAAUGACCCAUCACCUCCUUGUCUAAAUGAAGUAAUCUCAUUCCUCAUCUU